rnacentral:pre_miRNA from 1 species
UUCUUACUCCCUCCGUCCGAAAAAACUUGUCCCAAGCUUGUCCCUCAAAUAGAUGUAUCUAGCACUAACUUGGUGCUAGAUACAUCUAUUUGAGGGACAAGCUUUUUCGGACGGAGGGAGUAUUUA